UGGGGUCUCAGAGAGAGCAUUCUG
rnacentral:miRNA from 1 species